AUGCUCGCCCGGAAGAUCAGCUCGGAAACGCGGCAAGAUCGCCGCAUUAAAGCAAAGGCUGCAAAGGAGGAGAACUUGAAGAAGCGUCUGUCCGCCGGUGGGCUUGGUGAUGGCGAUGGGCGUGGUGGACGUGGCCGACGGGGCGGUCAGCGAGGCCGUGGCGGACGCCGCCAGAUGGGCGCGCCCACAUUACAGGCGACGCUGUGGCCAGAGCUUUACGAGCCUCUGUACUACUACACCACCAAAGGCAUCUCCAAGUAUUGCGGGCACUUGAAGCAUCUCAUCACACGGUGGCCUAGCGGUGCACAAAUUACCGAGAAACCUACUCAUGCUUGUGUGGUGUACAAGAAGUUGGAUAAGAUGUCCUUCACUAUCAUGCAUUGUUGGUUGAAGUUGAAUGGGCAAACAAAGUGGAACCUUUUCAUUGCCAAGACCGCCGCUCAAGCCAAAGAGGAAGAAACCGACGGCCCUACCGACCCAGCCCAAGAACCGCCGAAGAAGGUUAGAAGGAAAGCGGAGAGGUUCAAGUAA
rnacentral:rRNA from 1 species